GAUGAACGCUAGCUACAGGCUUAACACAUGCAAGUCGAGGGGCAGCAUGACCUAGCAAUAGGUUGAUGGCGACCGGCGCACGGGUGAGUAACACGUAUCCAACCUACCGGUUAUUCCGGGAUAGCCUUUCGAAAGAAAGAUUAAUACCGGAUAGUAUAACGAGAAGGCAUCUUCUUGUUAUUAAAGAAUUUCGAUAACCGAUGGGGAUGCGUUCCAUUAGUUUGUUGGCGGGGUAACGGCCCACCAAGACAUCGAUGGAUAGGGGUUCUGAGAGGAAGGUCCCCCACAUUGGAACUGAGACACGGUCCAAACUCCUACGGGAGGCAGCAGUGAGGAAUAUUGGUCAAUGGACGAGAGUCUGAACCAGCCAAGUAGCGUGAAGGAUGACUGCCCUAUGGGUUGUAAACUUCUUUUAUAUGGGAAUAAAGUGAGCCACGUGUGGCUUUUUGUAUGU
rnacentral:rRNA from 1 species